ACGCUCGACACCUACAGGAGGCAGCAGUGGGGAAUAUUGCACAAUGGGGGAAACCCUGAUGCAGCGACGCCGCGUGAGCGAAGAAGUAUUUCGGUAUGUAAAGCUCUAUCAGCAGGGAAGAAACUGACGGUACCUGACUAAGAAGCACCGGCUAAAUACGUGCCAGUAGCCGCGGUAAUCUGAGCGGGCUGGCAAGGC
rnacentral:rRNA from 1 species